AGUCAUGGUAGUAGGUUCAAUCAUUUUCAAUUUAAGCAUAAGUUAAAAUUUUUUUCUUUCUAUUAAUAGAAAGUUUAAAAUAUCUAAAUACUCCUCCUACUACCACUACCACUCAUCAUCCUCCUCCUCCUCUCCUCCUCCUCAUCCUCCUCGUACUACUACUACUCCUCAUUCUUCUUCUAAUCUUUAUUCAUUCUACUCCUCCUCCUACUACUACUCCUACCACUACUCCUACCACUUCUCCUCCUCCUACUCCUCCCCCUCCUCCCCCUCCUCCUCCUCCUACUACUACUACUCCUCCUCCUCCUCCUUCAACUACUCAUACUCCUACCACUACUCCUCAUUCUUCUUCUAACCUUUAUUCGUUCUAUUUUUUGUUUGUUUGUUAUUUUCAAACAUUAUUAAUAUCACAUCUCUUCACUUCUCUAUUUGUACAAGAUGAAAAACACUUGUUUUAUGAUUUCUUCCCUAAUACUUUCUUUAUAUAUUUUGCAUCUUUCAUCUCCCUUCUCCAUCUCUUAUUAUUCAAAUUCUAACAACGACAAAAUAACUAACUUAUCUAAUCAACCAGAGGUGAAAUUCUACCAAUACUCUUGUUAUAUCUGUGUCGAUAAAAUACAAAAAAUAUUUUUAUUUUAUUAUUUUAUUGAAGCAGAAGUUCAGCGAACUUCAAAACCAAUAGUUAUGUGGCUAUAUGGAGGGUCGGACUGUUCUUCCGUAGGACUUGGAGCUUUCAAAGAGCAUGGUCUUUUUAAACCAACUGACAAAGCUUUAGUCAAGAACGACUACGGUUGGAACAAAGCUAAUUAGAAAAAUUAAUUUUGUUGAAUUUUAGUAACAUUAUUGUGCAUUUCUAAAAUUGUUUUUGUCCAAUUUGAUAACGUACUGAGGCCAACAUGCUUUAUUUGGAAUCACCCGCCGGCGUUGGCUUCUCAUACCCCAUCAACCAAUCAUUCUAUUACCACUUGACUGAUGAAAUGACGGGUCACUUUGCACCUCAACUUGCAAAACUCAUUGUAAAAACCAAAACCAACAUACAUUUAAAAGGAAUAGCCAUAGGUAACCCCGUUUAAUACAGAUUAUAACUCUAGGAGUCAAUUUUGGUGGUCUCAUGGCUUGAUAUCAAAUUCAACCUAUGAGUUACUUACCAAAGUUUACAACUAUUCCCGAAUUAAGAGGGUGGAACAGUUAAUUCCACUUACGUAAAAAUUAAUAAGCGAUUGCAGACGGAGGUUGGUAGUUUCACCGAUCCUUUUCGUAUUAGUCACCCUCCGUGUCUAACAACAGGAGAUCAUACAGGGAAUCCACGUAGUUCUCUGGUAUGACAUUAAGGAGUCUUAUAUUCCAACCAUAUCUAUUCUAGGGACACUUGUUAAAUCAGGUGUAAGAGUUAUGGUAUUUAGUGGAGAUCAAGAUUCUUACUUACCAUUCCUUGGCACACAAUCCUUAUUGGAUUAGCCAAGGACAUUGGAUUGAAGGAAUCAAACUCUUACUUACCAUUCCUUGGCACACAAUCCUUAUUGGAUUAGCCAAGGACAUUGGAUUGAAGGAAUCAAACUCUUUUCGACCAUGUUGCAGGAUCUACGGUGGUUUAGGAUGAUAUUUUAUCUUUUGCCACCAUUAGAGGAGCUGGUCAUUCCAGUGCAUCAUUGCAACGAGAAUCUACAUUUGUGUUAUUUAAAGUAUUUUUAGAAGGAAGGUCCCUUCCAAAACUUCAAAUAUAAAUGCUUUAUGUAACACAAUUUUUUUAUGUAAAUUAUAUAUUAAACCGUUUUAUUAUAAAUUUGUUAUAUUUUAUUUGUAUUA